AUUGAACGCUGGCGGCAGGCCUAACACAUGCAAGUCGAGUGAGCGGCGGACGGGUGAGUAAUGUCGGGGCAAAUGCCUGAUGGAGGGGGAUAAUUACUGGAAAAGGUAGCUAAUACCGCAUAACAUCAGAUGUGCCCAGAUGGGAUUAGCUAGUAGGGGGGGUAACGGCUCACCUAGGCGACGAUCCCUAGCUGGUCUGAGAGGCUGACCAGCCACACUGAAACUGAGACACGGGCCAGACUCCUACGGGAGGCAGCAGUGGGGAAUAUUGCACAAUGGGCGCAAGCCUGAUGCAGCCAUGCCGCGUGUGUGAAGAAGGCCUUCGGGUUGUAAAGCACUUUCAGCGGGGAGGCGUUACCCGCAGAAGAAGCACCGGCUAACUCCGUGCCAGCAGCCGCGGUAAUAC
rnacentral:rRNA from 1 species